UACGUAGGCAGCGAGCGUUGUUCGGAGUUACUGGGCGUAAAGGGUGUGUAGGCGGUUGUUUAAGUUUGGUGUGAAAUCUCCCGGCUCAACUGGGAGGGUGCGCCGAAUACUGAAUGACUCGAGUGUGGGAGAGGUGAGGUGGAAUUCCUGGUGUAGCGGUGAAAUGCGUAGAUAUCGGAAGGAACACCUGUGGCGAAAGCGGCUCACUGGACCAUAACUGGACGCUGAGGCGCGAAAGCUAGGGGAGCAACAGGG
rnacentral:rRNA from 1 species